AUGUGUGGCAGCAGCAGCAGCAGCAGCAGCAGCAGCACAGUAGUGAAGGCAAGAUGGCUGAGUAACGUCCGUGGCAGCCUCCACCACAACAUUUCCUCUCUGUUAUCACCCUCUACAACCCCUCCUACACAGAUGCUCUGUGUGAUGUGCAGAGCCUGGUGCUGUCGUAUGUUUUCGUAACUACUGUGGUGUAAUGUACAGAGCCUGGUGCUGUCAUAAGCUCAUAAAUUUUUCUAGCUGAAAAUUUUAAAUUUUUUGUUAGUGUAGUGAUUGAUUACUAUUAGUGACAAAUUAGUUGUAAAGCCUCUUAUUGGAACUAGUUUUACAAGAAAAUUAAGUGAUACUUGCAAUGAAGUAACUUGAAUGCUUUUUAUAGUGCAGAUUUUAACAUUUUGAAACCCAGUUACGUGACAAAAGGAACAAAAUCUUGCUAAUAUGACUAAGUGCUCAUACAUACGUCAGCUGACGUACCAGUGCUGUAAAGGAAAGGAGGCCUAGUGCAAACUGACUAGGCCCCAGGGACAAGUCAUUGUUCGGCCUGCGGCUUAGGGUUGAUGGUGAACAUUGUUGGUGUUCGCACACUGGUCCCCCCCACUGUGGGUGGCCCCCCUGUCACUGAAUCCAAAAUGAUGGCACGAGCAAUACUGCAGUGUCGGCCCAAUUCCCACCCAUUCCCUGAGAGAACGUUGGUCCUCGACCAGUCAGUGAAAAUUGGACGAUCUGUGGCUCGGGCCAGACCAGCAACCAGCAAUGCCAUCUUUGACUGUAAAGUGCUCUCCAGGAACCAUGCUCUUUUGUGGUAUGAGAAUGGAAAGUUCUAUCUCCAAGAUACCAAGAGCAGCAAUGGCACUUUCGUUAAUAACCAGCGCCUCAGCAAAGGCUCUGAAGAGUCAGCACCGAGAGAGGUCUGUUCGGGGGAUAUUGUACAGUUUGGUGUUGAUGUCAUGGAGAACUCAAAAAAAGUGACACAUGGCUGUAUAGUUGCAACUUUGAAGUUAUAUAUGCCUGAUGGCCAAGAAGCAAAAGCCAGCCCAUCAACAGCAGUAGGUGGGGCAGUGACAAGUGUGACUGCUCAGGAAUUAUAUCAGCUACGGACGUACCUGCAGGAAGCUCAGCAUCGUGAACAACAAAUUGAAACCAAAUUGGCUACUUUACAACGUCUGGUUUCAUCUACUCAGGAAGCAGCUACUCAUAGUUGGAAAGCAAUGAUUGAUGAAGAUCGAUUACUUCAGCGACUUGAAACUCUUGAGGCUCAACUUUCUACAUAUGCCAAGAAUUACCCUGAAGACAGUGUUCGAGAGGAAAUGAGGAGACUACUGGAUGAGAAGGGUCAGUAUGAAACCACUGCCAAAGAAUCCUUGAGACGAGUUCUACAGGAAAAGUUAGAUGCUGUCACAAAACUAGCAGAUUUAGAAAGAACAUUAAACACUUCAGAAGAUGAAUUAGCUCAUAUAAAGGAAGUUUGUGAAACUACUCAAAAGGAGCUUGUUGAAUUGUUAGAGAAGCAGUCUGUUCAAAGUGAACAAGUUGCACAGCUAACAGAAAAAUUAAAGAAUGCUGAGGAUCAAUUAAAGGAUGCAGAAGAAAACUAUGAACAGGAGAAAAAGGAACUACAAAGUAAAUUGUUAGAGAAAUCUAGUGAAGAAAAUAAAUUGAUGGCUAGAAUAGAAAGUAUAACAGCAGAAAGUGACUUUACCAAAGAGCAAUUAAGUGCCAUGAAGGCUAAAUAUGAAAAUAUUAAAAAUGGUGAAAUUAGUGGACUUAUAAAACCAGUAAAAGAUUCCUCAGGUUUUGACAUGUUAAGUAUAGAACCUUCUGAUUUCAAACAAGCCCUCGAAACUACACAGAGAGAGAUCCAUACUCUCAAAGAUCGCCUUCAAACUGCUCAGGAUGAACUCAGGCAAGCUGAGGCCAAUGUUUCUCAGCUCAAACAGGAACUUGCCGAUAACAAAGCUAAAAGUGCAGCCAGCACAGCAUUGAUGGAACACUUACAAGCUCAGAUUGCAACCCUGGAGGAUCGUCUAAGAGAGUACCAGGUGGUAUCUGAAAUUCCUGUAAUAUAUGAUGACAUCUACGAUGACAACACUUUAGUUAGGAAAAAGAAGGAUUGCCUCAAAAGUAAAGACAAUUUAAAUGAAGAUGAUGCCAAAGAUGAAGAAAGGACAAAUGACCUAGAUGACACAAUUGAUGCAGACACCACUCUUACUAUCAUCUCAACCAAGGAAUGCAAGGACUCUAAUGUUAAUGGCACUUUAGAGGAUAAAGAUGAGGAGAAGGAAGUGGAGGUAGCCCAAGAAUCAAUAUUACGCACUGACAUCUUAAGACUUCAAGAGCUUUUAGAAACAAGUCGAAAAGCACAAGAAACUUCAGAAAAGGAAGUGGCUCGAAUUCGUGAAGAUUUGGCUCAGGCAUCUACAGCAGCCAUAACAGCAUCUCAUGAGGCUUCCAACCUUCGACAACAGCUAGCUGCUAGUGAAGCCUUAAUGACUGAAAAGGUGAAGACGGUGGGAUCACUACAGAGUCAAGUAAGCCGUCUUGAAGAUUCAUCUAAAGAGGUGCAGACACAGCUGUCAAACCUCACAGUCAGACUAAGGGAUGAGCAGCAGAAGGUUCAGGCUGCCCAGGAAGAAACUCGGUUACUUAGAGAGAAACUAAGUGAGGCUGAAGAAUUAGCAAGCCUUAGUGUACAGGAAGCUGAAUCUCUAAAGAGACGGAUAGUUGGGCUUGAGGAGCGGUUACAAUUCAACCAGGCCUCUCCAACAACACCUCUUAUUCUUCCUCCUCCACCUUGUAUCCCCAGUGGUAGUAAUGAAGUUUCAAACAAGGAGACGCUUGGUGAAUGUGAUACCACUGUAGCAGUAUGUGGAGGAUCUGCUGAGGAGAGAACUGCCAGUACAAUUAUAGAUGAAAAUUCUACAUCUACCUCAAAAACACAAAUUUGCAGUAUACCAGACAACUCUGGAAGUCAGACUAAUGUCACAGAUAUACCAGAAAUCAGUCAUUCAUUUGUAACCAAAGAAGUGGAACUUAGUGAGCUUAAAAAUACUCUGAAAAAAUUAAAAGAAGAGCUGUCACAAACUCAGAAAGAAUGUGCAUCUUUGCAAGAGAGAGAACGCAUCCUUCAGUAUACACUAGAUACUGAAAAGAGAAAAACAAAUGGCAGUUUGAAUGAUACUCAUCAAGAUAUGAUGGAUGGAUUAAUAACUCCUGUUUUAAAGGAUGGAUCACUGUUGUCCAACAAAUUGGAAAAUCUUCAGGAAGAGUUGGCUUUAGUGAGGGAAGAGCGAGAUAAACUACAAAACAAACUUAGCAUAGUGAAUGAAGAUUUUCAGCAACUGGCUGUACAAAAUGGGAUGACGAUCCCAACGUGGGUCUUGCUAGUUAUGGGGGUGGCUCUACUUCUUUUCUCUGAUUUUCUUCAAAGCCUUUUGUAGGAAAAAAUAAGCAAAGCUUUGAUACACCCAUUUUUGCCUAGUGUUUAUGUAUAUGCACAAAAAGCUUGUUGUAAAGAAACUUGUAUUUAUACAAUGUGCAAAAGCAACAGAAUAAUUAGAGUUAUUGAAAAGUCAUUUUCCAGCAACAUAUGUGAUUAUUGUGCCAUUUUUUGUUAGUGAUGUGUAGGAUAUAAUUAUCAAAUGUACAGUAUGUAGAUUGUACAGUUUCCCUUGAUAUUGAUUAACGUUAACAAAACUAGUAUAUAUUAACUAUAAUAUUGCAUAUUCUCUUCUAAUCUUGUAUCUAUGUAAUAUAAAUUCAGUAUGUAUAUAUAGCUAUUUAAAAAAAAAAAAGAAGUAAGUCCUAGUGUAAAAAAUCUAAUAGCCAAGAGAAUUAAAUACAAGCCCUGAGUGCAACAGAGAAAGUUAGCCUGAGCCAGUCCCAGAAGCCUUGUGAUAUUAGCCAAUGUAAGCCCUGCAGAGGCCCUUAGAAGGCCCAUGGGAAGAGGUUGUUGCUGCCUCGGCCCCACCACAAGUCACACCAACAGGCUGUGGCGUUGAGUAUCGUGCCACUGUGUAUUCUUCUUCUGGGCUUCAUCACAGCAUUCUACGACACCAUUUCUGCCAUCACUGGCACUACAGAGUUUCAUCCACCAUCUUAGAUAUAAUUAUAUACUGUAUAUUCUUUAAAAUAACUGUACACUAUAAAAUGAAGUUCAUUACAUCUUUCAUUUUCAAAAAUCAUAGUUGUCUUUAAUUUUUUUCAUGUUGUACAAUUUAGUACUUUUGUUAUCACAUUGGACUCUUAUCCUAUUAGUAAGCCAUAAAUUUUAUCUUCCCUGGGUAAUCAUAUAUUAAUGAGGUAAUUAGUUUAUAAUCUCCCAUUGUCGAGCAGUUUCAUUCUCAUGUGUGCUAACAGUGUUGAUUCUAACUAAAGCUUGUUUUUUUUUUUUACUCUGGAAUUAAAGCCAUUUAUGCAGAGAAAUGGUUGAGUAUUCUGCUGAAGGCAAUAUAUUGCUGGAUCUGCUUCCUCAGGGAACUGAGUGUAUGAAAAGAGGUUUGUGAUGUGUGUAUCUGUGAAUUGUUUCUCUUGAAGUACUGUAGCUAUAAGAAUAAUCAAAGGAAAAUUAUGAUUCACUUGGACAUGUACAUAGGGAAGAUAAAUGUAACUACUUGAAUGGUCAAGAUUUUAAUGGCCUCAAAUUCCCAGGUGGCAUGCAUUUUAUAUUGGUGUAAUGCAUAUGUCAAGAUGCAAUGGUAAUGUUUGCUUGCCAAAUAUGAUGCUAAAGUGAUUGUAGAAUUGGUAUAACCAAGAUUGUUAUAGUUGUUUAGGAUGAUUACAGGUUGAUUUUCUUAAUGUGUUGCACAAAUGAUGUAGAACCUGUGAUUGUUUUACUUAUUAAUUUUCUCAGAUGUUAUUAUAUAACAUGAGAGAGUACAGUAUGUAUGCAGAAAUGAGAUGUUGGUUGUACAAGUCAGUUAAAUAGUUAAGUGAAAUUCUUUUUUUUUUUAUUGUGGAAACAUUGCUAUCUCGUAUAUUUUUAUUUCUUGAAGUGUAUCCCUUGAGUUAUUAAAUAUAUUUUCUUCAUUAAUAAUUAACUUUAUGGCUACAACUGUGCAUAUUAUGUUUUAAUUCAUUUUUUUUGCCUGAUAAAAGCAUAAGUUUAGAGGUUGAUUCUUGAUACACUACUGUGUAACUGUGUUGCUAUGGUAACAGAAUUAAACUGACUUCUUCUUUUCCAUAAUUGUAAAUUUACUAUCUUCACAACUAUAAGGUAUGGCAUUUCAGACAUUUCAAGACAUAACUUGACCUGUCACCAGUUUUAUGCAUAGAAAAAAACAUAAUUACAUCCUACACUAAAUUUUAAAGAUAGUAUUAUUUGCCUUAUUAAAGUAAAAUGUAUUUUAUAUACAUAUAUUUUGAUUCUAAGUAAAAUAUUAGUCUUUACUAGCAUUGAGAAAGUAACACAAUCACAUGGCUAAGUCAUCCCUGAGCUUAACUGUAAGGGUUGUGGAUGGACUAAUGUUCAAGUUACUGUUAAAAUUUUUUAACAAGUUAUGUCAUGCAUUGUAAGUUGUGCACAUCAAAUACUGUAACAAUUCUAUGUUACACCUUGUUUCAUCAGUAUAAAAAUGUAAUGCCAUUAGCAAGUUUUUGACAAAAUUGUACAAUGAUUCCUAUUUUUAUUAUGUUAAUAAUCAUUGUAACUAUUUCAACAUUUUAACUUGGUGCCAGUUUAUAUAGAAGCAAACAUAAAUCUUUGAUAUUAUAUAGAGCAAUUUACAUAAAAUGAUUUUUUAAGUAACAUUUCCAAAUUAUAAAUAUAUUUUACACAUAUAUGAGUGGUGUAGCCAAUAUGUUGCCGUACCUGUUUUUUGUCUGUGAUAAAACCAACACAAAAAGAUUAUCAUUAUUGUAUCUGCUUGUUUCCUUUCUAAUGUUUAAUGUUAUUACUCUCCUCUGUUUUUUUAGCAUAUUGGUUGCAUUGCCUCAUUAAUAAUAUCCAAUACAACAUUGAUCUUAAUUUCAUGUAAGACAUAAUAGGAAAGAGGGUAUUGAGACUUCUUCCAAGAGAUGAGUGUUUAAUAAGUAGCACAGAUGCUUCUCAGAUGUCAUGUACCAGCUGCUUGAAAGUCAACAUAGUGUCAUUUAGUAGCAACUUCCUUUACAACACGUGGAAACUGCUAUGAAAGUCUUGUGUCAGUGCUGUGUCAAGCUCAAUUUUGUCAUCAUAGGGAGAAGUGAAAUGUAUAUACAGAAGCUGCCAAAUUCCCUGACACUCUUGGCUUGGCAGAACUUGACAAAGACAUCCUAGUCACCUGUCUGGUUUUCCAGCCAAUCUCACCCGACCUCUCGUAAAAGUCAUGUACAGAUAAAUACAGUCGGAAAACUAUGUAAAUAAAAUGACGUGUGGUCACCAAGACUGUGUAUAAAGACGGAGUUAUAUACUGCCAUUAUUCAGUAGUAUAUAUUUGAAACUUAUUCAUAAAUAUUUAUGCUUGUUUGAUACAAGAUCGUGUUACUAUUGUAGUUCUUGUUCACAUCAUUUUAAAAUAGACUGAUGAACUUCAGGCAUUAUAGAAGAACUUAUUUCCCAUGAGGUUUAUCCAUGCUUUUAUACUUCAUCCUCGGAGGGAAAGUUUCUGUGGUAAAAGAUGUUCUUAUAUCUAAUGAGUCACAAGAUGAAAUAUCCCAUCUAGCACAUUUUGUAGGUGUCAUGUAAACUACAUUAUAUCCCAUUUUUUAUGAAUCACAUGUACAAAGAAAGCCAAGCACACAGAGGUUACCAUAAACUGGCCAAAUUCAUCAAAGAAGUAAAUAAAACUGAGGGGAAAUAUCAUAAAUAUAUGAUCUUGUGGAGAAUAUUAGUAUAAGCAGAUAUUCUUCAUUUUUUGUUUCUAGAACAAAUUGAGGAUGAUAUCUGCAAGUCACAAACUUGUUGAAAAUUCUGCUCUUUAUGAAUGUUGUCAGUAUUGGACACUCUGGUCAGGCACUAAUGCUCAUUCUGUGCUGCGCUUAGGAUGUCAGUCAAGAAACAGAACAUAUAAAAAAUGACAUGUUCUCAAGCUUCCAAAUAUAAAUAUUCAGCAUCCACAA